UUACGGCCACAUUACGUUGAAACAUCGGUUCCCAUACGAUAACCGAAGUUAAGCAACGUCGAGCCUGGUCAGUACCUAGAUGGGUAAACCGCUUAGGAAUAGCAGGUGCUGUAA